GAAAUAUGAUCCUUGUCCGUGGUUUUACAUCAAGGGUCUCUUCGUUAGCUCUCUAAGGAACAUAAUAGAAUAUUGAUCGCCAGUUGGAUAUUUGCUGAAAAAUAUAUCCAAGAAUUGAGCUCCUUCCAUUUCCUGGUCUCAAAUACCAAAUCAAACUUAAUAUGAGCAACUCGAAUUGUAUUUGCAAGGGAAGUGCACCUUGCAGCCCUAGAUUAACGAGGAAAAUGAGGACAAAUUGAUGAUUUCGAUCGGUGGGAA